rnacentral:rRNA from 1 species
CGGCUAUUAGCGUGCACUGCGGCGAGUGAAGCGGCAAAAGCUCAAAUUUGAAAUCUGGCGUCUUUGGCGUCCGAGUUGUAAUUUGAAGAAGGUAUCUUUGGGCCCGGCUCUUGUCUAUGUUCCUUGGAACAGGACGUCACAGAGGGUGAGAAUCCCGUGCGAUGAGAUGACCCGGGUCUGUGUAAAGUUCCUUCGACGAGUCGAGUUGUUUGGGAAUGCAGCUCUAAGUGGGUGGUAAAUUCCAUCUAAAGCUAAAUAUUGGCGAGAGACCGAUAGCGAACAAGUACAGUGAUGGAAAGAUGAAAAGAACUUUGAAAAGAGAGUGAAAAAGUACGUGAAAUUGUUGAAAGGGAAGGGCUUGAGAUCAGACUUGGUAUUUUGCAUGUUGCUCUCUCGGGGGCGGCCGCUGCGGUUUACCGGGCCAGCAUCGGUUUGGAGCGGCAGGAUAAUGGCGGAGGAAUGUGGCACGGCUUCUGCUGUGUGUUAUAGCCUCUGACGAUACUGCCAGCCUAGACCGAGGACUGCGGUUUUUACCUAGGAUGUUGGCAUAAUGAUCUUAAGUCGCCCGUCUUGAAACCCCGGAAAC